GUAGGUGGCUUAAUGGUAGAGUGCUUGCCUAGCAUGCAUGAAGCCCUGGGUUUGAUUCCCCAGUAUUACA
rnacentral:tRNA from 1 species